rnacentral:rRNA from 1 species
GACGAACGCUGGCGGCGUGCUUAACACAUGCAAGUCGAACGGAAAGGCCCUGCUUUUGUGGGGUGCUCGAGUGGCGAACGGGUGAGUAACACGUGAGUAACCUGCCCUUGACUUUGGGAUAACUUCAGGAAACUGGGGCUAAUACCGGAUAGGAGCUCCUGCUGCAUGGUGGGGGUUGGAAAGUUUCGGCGGUUGGGGAUGGACUCGCGGCUUAUCAGCUUGUUGGUGGGGUAGUGGCUUACCAAGGCUUUGACGGGUAGCCGGCCUGAGAGGGUGACCGGCCACAUUGGGACUGAGAUACGGCCCAGACUCCUACGGGAGGCAGCAGUGGGGAAUAUUGCACAAUGGGCGGAAGCCUGAUGCAGCAACGCCGCGUGCGGGAUGACGGCCUCGG